CUGAAGAGUUUGAUCAUGGCUCAGAUUGAACGUUGGCGGCACGCCUAAUACAUGCAAGUCGAACGAGAAAGCACUUCGGUGUGAGUACAGUGGCGCACGGGUGAGUAACGCGUAGAUGACGUGCCUAUUAGUGGGGGACAACAGCGGGAAACCGCUGCUAAUACCGCAUAAGCUAAGUGACAUUGAAAAAGCUUAGGAAAGGGGCUUCGGUCCUGCUAGUAGAUCGGUCUGCGUGACAUUAGCUUGUUGGUGGGGUAACGGCCUACCAAGGCGACGAUGUCUAGCUGGUCUGAGAGGAUGAUCAGCCACACUGGAACUGAGACACGGUCCAGACUCCUACGGGAGGCAGCAGUGGGGAAUCUUGGACAAUGGGCGAAAGCCUGAUCCAGCCAUUCCGCGUGGAUGACGAAGGCCUUAGGGUUGUAAAAUCCUUUCAGCAGGGAAGAUAAUGACGGUACCUGCAGAAGAAGCCCCGGCUAACUCCGUGCCAGCAGCCGCGGUAAUAC
rnacentral:rRNA from 1 species